AUGGAGGGGAUCCAAAAAAAAUUGCAGUCCAUGAAGCUCUCAGGUGCAGAAAAGAAAGAAAUCAAGAUUGGACGAAGAAACACGAACAUAGCAGGGUCACAGAAGCCACAAGCUAUUGGUAAAUUGAUGUCUGACAGACCUGCGCCGAAGGAGGCCCUAGAGAACACCUUGGGAAGGAUUUGGUCUCCGUUCAAAGGAGUGGAGUGCAAGAACCUAGGUAUGAAUCGAUUUUUGUUCUCAUUCCGAGAUGAAGCAGGGAAAUUUAGGGCGUUGAAUGACAGACCUUGGACUUUCAAUAAGAGGCUUCUGGUGGUUGAAUAUUUUGAUCCAGCAAAAACACUCAAUGAGUACGAGUUCAAGAAAAUUCCUAUUUGGGUAAGCCUUCAUGGUAUUCCUAUGGGAUCGAUGUAUAGGGAGUCAAGUGAAGCCAUAGGGAAGGAAAUAGGGGAGGUGCUGAAUGUUGAUGUUGAUGAAUGUGACAUGGCAGCAGGAGAGUUUAUGCGAGUGAAAGUCCGGCUAGAUAUCACAAAACCUUUGAUAAGAGGUAUUACUAUCUUCCUGGAAGAUGAUGAGGAGGAAAGGCAAGACAAAGAGAUGAUGGCCAAAGAACUGAACGAUGGGCAGAAGGGGAAAGAGAUUUUAUUUACAUAUGAACACUUACCAGACUUCUGCUAUUUGCGGCGUCAUCGGCCACAAUGA
rnacentral:rRNA from 1 species